UACUUUAUCAGGACCCUCCUGGAAGAUGGGAUUUAGUUUAUCAGGACCCUCCUGGAAGAUAGGAUUUACUUUAUCAGGACCCUUCUGGAAAAUGAGAUUUACUUUAUCAGGACCCUUCUGGAAAAUGGGAUUUACUUAUCAGGACCCUCCUGGAAAAUGGGAUUUAGUUUAUCAGGACCCUCCUGAAAAAUGGGAUUUAGGUUAUCAGGACCCUCUUGGAAAAUGGGAUUUAGUUAUCAGGACCCUCCUGGAAAAUGAGAUUUAGUUAUCAGGACCCUCCUGAAAAAUGGGAUUUACUUUAGCAGGACCCUUCUGAAAAAUGGGAUUUAGUUAUCAGGAUCCUCCUGGAUAAUGGGAUUUACUUUAUCAGGACCCUCUUGGAAAAUGAGAUUUACUUUAUCAGGACCCUCCUGGAUAAUGGGAUUUAUUUAUCAGGACCCUCCUGGAAAAUGGGAUUUAGUUAUCAGGACCCUCCUGGAAAAUGGGAUUUAGUCUAUCAGGACCCUCCUGGAAAAUGGGAUUUAGUUUAUCAGGACCCUCCUGGAAAAUGAGAUUUAGUUAUCAGGACCUCCUGGAAAAUGGGAUUUAGUUAUCAGGACCCUCCUGGAAAAUGGGAUUUAGUUAUCA